UAGCCCUUGGCGGGUGCUUACCAUGCAAGUCGAACGAUGAAGCCCUGCUUGCAGGGUGGAUUAGUGGCGAACGGGUGAGUAACACGUGAGUAACCUGCCCCCGACUUUGGGAUAAGCCCGGGAAACUGGGUCUAAUACCGGAUAUGACUACGGAACGCAUGUUUUGUUGUUGAAAGAUUUAUCGGUGGGGGAUGGACUCGCGGCCUAUCAGCUUGUUGGUGAGGUAAUGGCUCACCAAGGCGACGACGGGUAGCCGGCCUGAGAGGGUGACCGGCCACACUGGGACUGAGACACGGCCCAGACUCCUACGGGAGGCAGCAGUGGGGAAUAUUGCACAAUGGGCGAAAGCCUGAUGCAGCGACGCCGCGUGAGGGAUGACGGCCUUCGGGUUGUAAACCUCUUUCAGUAGGGAAGAAGCGAGAGUGACGGUACCUGCAGAAGAAGCGCCGGCUAACUACGUGCCAGCAGCCGCGGUAAUACGUAGGGCGCAAGCGUUAUCCGGAUUUAUUGGGCGUAAAGAGCUCGUAGGCGGUUUGUCGCGUCUGCCGUGAAAGUCCGAGGCUCAACCUCGGAUCUGCGGUGGGUACGGGCAGACUAGAGUGAUGUAGGGGAGACUGGAAUUCCUGGUGUAGCGGUGAAAUGCGCAGAUAUCAGGAGGAACACCGAUGGCGAAGGCAGGUCUCUGGGCAUUUACUGACGCUGAGGAGCGAAAGCAUGGGGAGCGAACAGGAUUAGAUACCCUGGUAGUCCAUGCCGUAAACGUUGGGCACUAGGUGUGGGGGACAUUCCACGUUUUCCGCGCCGUAGCUAACGCAUUAAGUGCCCCGCCUGGGGAGUACGGCCGCAAGGCUAAAACUCAAAGGAAUUGACGGGGGCCCGCACAAGCGGCGGAGCAUGCGGAUUAAUUCGAUGCAACGCGAAGAACCUUACCAAGGCUUGACAUGUGCCAGACCGGAUCAGAGAUGGUCUUUCCCUUCGGGGCUGGUUCACAGGUGGUGCA
rnacentral:rRNA from 1 species